rnacentral:rRNA from 1 species
UACGUAGGGGGCAAGCGUUGUCCGGAAUCAUUGGGCGUAAAGCGCGUGUAGGCGGCGUGGCAAGUCGGGUGUGAAAGCCCUCAGCUCAACUGAGGAAGUGCGCCCGAAACUGCUGUGCUUGAGUGCCGGAGAGGGUGGCGGAAUUCCCCAAGUAGAGGUGAAAUUCGUAGAUAUGGGGAGGAACACCGGUGGCGAAGGCGGCCACCUGGACGGUAACUGACGCUGAGACGCGAAAGCGUGGGGAGCAAACAGG